UACAGGGUUAUAAUCCAAGCACCUCGAUAAAACACACUCUUCCUCAUUUUCCUCCUUUUUUUAUCGUUCCCACGAAGGUAGUCCAAAUCCAGUCCAGUUCAUGGUGAAGAUGUCGCGGAUUUGGCCGCCAAUGCCUGAAUUGCUGAUAAACAUUUGAUUUUGAACGCGUCCCCUUUUUUCUCCUGUCCUCUCUUUUGGUGCCUCCUCCCCUUUCUUUAAGGCUAGUUUUGGCUACGCUGCUAGCGCCGAGAAAAUAUUGCAACGCGCAGAGACAGCCAAGCGAUUCCCCCAACACACACACAUACAUACAUACACACGCGGCGGAGAAAUCCCUAAUUUACAAGUUUGUUCUUUGCAUGUAAAUAGCAAGCGCCAUUACCACUACUAGCACCCCUCCUCCUCCUCUGUUAGCAUGCUAGCAGCAGAUGCUAGCUGUCAGCAACGACGCAUACAAAUAAAAUUCCCUUUAUUUCACUUAACUUCCCGUGUUUAGGCCUUCUUCUUGAAUUGAAAGGAAACGCUCACACACAAAGACCGAGACAAGAGUGAUAAAAAUAGCCCGUAGAGAAAGUAGGCCGCGUUUUUUGUUAUAUGUAUCUUUACACAUUUUCAUCCAGAGACGCCAUUUUUGAAGGCGGCUGUCCGUACUCCCCUCUCCUCUCCUCGUAGGGCUCUCUUCUCGGCUCAGUGUCCGCGCUGACCUCCCCUACGCUACCCCGGCUCCUCUGCUAACCAGCCCGGCGUGCUUUUCCACAUUUCCUCCACAUUGUUAGGCUAAAUAAACAUACACGGAAGCUCAGCAAGCCGUGACGUUGUUGUAAUACCGACAGUGGGGAAAUCUGUGCUAAUUGACAACCUAAUGUUUAAAACACUUCCACAGUCAAAAUCACAUGUGUCCAUUUUUAUUAAAUAUACCCACAGAUAGCUCAAUGUUUCUCAUCUUUAUAAAAUGCCAAACUGUACAAAGACCUUAAGAGUUCAUUAUGGUUUUUAUUUUACAGUAUAUAGACAGCCAGUGUCUGCCUAGAAGACGCCACAUGCAGUUCACAUGUGCACCAGUAGAUGGCACACUGGAAAACCACGACAGAGUAUCACAGAGAAGAGAGUAAAGGAGUGCAGAGACCUCAUAGACGCCUUCCAGGCCUGUGCAAAGACUCUGUCUGAAGGAUCGUGACACAUUCAGGAACAUCUCUCUUUAUGGAAUAUGCCCCAUUAGGAUGUGCUUACCAUCCCAGGAUCCUUCCAGUAUGUCGCUGGACUGAAACAUCUGAUACACAUUGUGCACUUUAUUUAAUGGCAACGGUGUUUUUGUAAAUAUGGUUAUUGCAUGUCAUUAUGGACGGUCUGUCUGUCA